rnacentral:rRNA from 1 species
AAUCUUGCGCAAUGGAGGGAACUCUGAUGCAGCGACGCCGCGUGAGUGAUGAAGGCUUUCGAGUCGUAAAACUCUGUCCUAGGGGACGAUAAUGACGGUACCCUAGGAGGAAGCCCCGGCUAACUACGUGCCAGCAGCCGCGGUAAUACGUAGGGGGCGAGCGUUGUCCGGAAUUAUUGGGCGUAAAGGGUUCGCAGGCGGCCUUUUAAGUCAGAUGUGAAAGAUCACGGCUCAACCGUGGUAAGCAUUUGAAACUGGAAGGCUUGAGUUAAGGAGAGGAAAGUGGAAUUCCUAGUGUAGCGGUGAAAUGCGUAGAUAUUAGGAGGAAUACCAGUGGCGAAGGCGACUUUCUGGACUUAUACUGACGCUGAGGAACGAAAGCGUGGGGAGCUAACA